UACGGAGGGUGCGAGCGUUGUCCGGAAUCACUGGGCGUAAAGGGCGCGUAGGCGGCCUGGUAAGUAGGGGGUGAAAUCCUGCGGCUUAACCGCAGGGCUGCCUUCUAAACUGUCAGGCUCGAGCACGGUAGAGGCAGAUGGAAUUCCCGGUGUAGCGGUGGAAUGCGUAGAGAUCGGGAAGAACAUCGGUGGCGAAGGCGGCCAGCUGGGCCGUUGCUGACGCUGAGGCGCGACAGCGUGGGGAGCAAACAGG
rnacentral:rRNA from 1 species